CCUACGGGAGGCAGCAGUGAGGAAUAUUGGUCAAUGGACGCAAGUCUGAACCAGCCAUGCCGCGUGCAGGAAGACGGCUCUAUGAGUUGUAAACUGCUUUUGUACGAGGGUAAACGCAGAUACGCGUAUCUGUCUGAAAGUAUCGUACGAAUAAGGAUCGGCUAACUCCGUGCCAGCAGCCGCGGUAAUACGGAGGAUUCAAGCGUUAUCCGGAUUUAUUGGGUUUAAAGGGUGCGUAGGCGGUCGGAUAA
rnacentral:rRNA from 1 species